UACGAAGGGUGCAAGCGUUAAUCGGAAUUACUGGGCGUAAAGCGUGCGUAGGCGGUUUCUUAAGUCUGCUGUGAAAUCCCCGGGCUCAACCUGGGAAUGGCAGUGGAUACUGGGAGGCUAGAGUGUGUCAGAGGAUGGUGGAAUUCCCGGUGUAGCGGUGAAAUGCGUAGAGAUCGGGAGGAACAUCAGUGGCGAAGGCGACUACCUGGCCUGUUCUUGACGCUGAGGCGCGAAAGCUAGGGGAGCAAACGGG
rnacentral:rRNA from 1 species